UUCUUUUUGUUGUUCAUGGUUGGUUUCCAGAUGAGUCCAUUGUAAAAUAGAUUCUGAUUCAGUGGGGCUCAAAACUUUGAUUUUCGUAAAAUGUAUCCAGUUUUUUUCAUAACAUCUUAUAUAUAUAUAGAUAUAUAUUGAAUGCCAUAGGAAUUCUGAUGUUCAAAUUCCUUUAGAACAUCAAAAGCAAGUAUCAGCUUGAGAAAGCAUUAUAUUUUGGUUAAUAUCACUAUGACAGGAAAACCUAUACCAUUUCAGAAUGAUACUCUACUCUGGUUCAUUGAUUUGUUUACUCUAUUACUUAGUUAAUGCUUGUGAUGUAGACAAAGACGGUAAGAAUUGUACAAUGCUUCUUUUGCAAUGUAAAGAACUCUGCCACUAUGAUAUGUCUUAGUAUAUUGGGUAUAUGUGCAUACAUGUGAAUGCGCACAAAAGAUACACACGCAGACACGAAAAUGCAGGCUUUUGGUACUGAAACUUCAUAGACACUUUUUAUUGUUGGAAUUGUGUUUUUGCAUAUUCAGGAUCCAGAGGAAGCUCAUGCGAGAAGGGGAGCUCCAUGGACAUUUGAUCCUGAACUACUGCUAAAAUGUCUCAAGACUUUGAAGAAUCAGGGAUCAGUUUACGCUCCUUCAUUUGACCAUGGUGUUGGAGAUCCAAUUGAAGAUGAUAUUUUUGUGAACCUUCAAAUUUUGGGGACUUAUUUGGGAUAAUGUCUUUUGGAUGCUGAUUUCUUUCAAAGGUUCAUCGAGGUUGACAUUGAGAUAGCAAUGCAACAAGUUUUAAAGAGACAUGUAUUGACCGGUCUGCAUUUGUAUAUUGUUAAUCAACCACUUGUUAACAUGCAUGAUGAAAAGGAUUGGUGUGUGUUGAUUUUAUUUCUGUGUAUUGUAGGAAAACCUCCAGAUGUUGCUAAGUGGCGGAUAGAGUACAAUGACCGGCCUAAUGCAGAGCUAAUUGACAUGUCCAAGAAAAAUGUGAAUUAGUUAAUCAAGUCGAUUGAUUUCUGUAGUUGAAUCCUAUCUAUAAUUAGAACAGAGAAAGAAUUGACAAGUUCAGUUCAAUCGUGUUCACCAUUUGAAACAAAGUGAUGAAUGACAGUCUCAUGGUGAAGUCAUGAACAAGUUGAAUAUAAAUGGUCAUGAACAAGUUGAAUAAAAAUGCAGAUACUGACUUGUUUAAGUUAAGGUGACUCGGAGAACAAGAGUAGGAAGCGACUGCACGGGUUGUUAUGGCUAUUAGCUUAUUAAUCAUCGUGUACUGAAAUUUGCAGGUACAGCAACAGGUGCCUUACAUCACUACUGCUUUGAUGGAUGCAAAGCUUGGCACGGAAGGGCGCAAGGAUCUUUUUGAUUGGCUAUCAAGGCAACUUAGUGGAUUAAAACUUAGAAUAUGAAUUAUGUAUUGUGUGGAAUAGUUAAUGAAUUAAAACUUAGUGGAUCUUUUUGAUUGGCUAUCAAGGCAACUUAAUGUAUUGUGUUGAAUAUGAAUUGAAAACUUAGAAUAGUUGUAUUGUGUCGAAUGUUAAUGAAUUAUGUAUUGUGUCGAAUGUUAAUGAUUCAGUUAAUUUGAAUGAUGCUUUAAAAUUA